GAUUUCUGGCACGAUUUGCCUGGCCCGCCACGGUUUCGUGUGUGAGUGCCGGGUCGGAUCUGCCAUCCUUCCAGAGAACGUUCCUACCCUUCACUGGGCCGGGGACGCAAUCUGGAUCGUUUACUUUGAAAAAAUUAGAGUGUUUCAAGCAGGCGACUCGCUGUGAAUACAUUAGCAUGGAAUAAUAACUUAGGACUUCGGUUCUAUUUUGUUGGUUUCUAGGACUGAAGUAAUGAUUGAUAGGGAUAGUUGGGGGUGCUCGAAUUCAGCGGCCAGAGGUGAAAUUCUUGGAUUCGCUGAAGACGAACUCAUGCGAAAGCAUU
rnacentral:rRNA from 1 species